GAGGAGUUGAGUCAUCAAACCAUAGCAAAAAUUAGUGGGCUGGAUUCCUGAAAGGCUCACCCAGAUGGAGGCAUUCUGGGAUGGAAAUCAGAGAUGUAUGCCUUCUAGACAAAGGCUCUACCACUGAACUACAUCCCCAAUCCAAAGAAAUUCCAGCAGAGGACUAUAAGGACUGUAUCUGUCAUCAUCAAUUCAAGAAACAGUUGAUGUAUCAUGAAUCAGUAUGUUGAGAGAGAAUCUCAUGUGGCAUAGAACUGAACAUUCUGACAACCACAGGAGAAAGCCUGGAAACUAAACUCUCCUUCUCGUCAAGCCCUUAGAUGAUAUCAUUGCCUCUCUCAAAAACUAGAAUGCACCUCAUGAGAAGGCUUGAGUCCAAAA